GGGGUGGCUAAUACCGGAUGCGACGAGCGUCUCCUCGGAGAUGCACGGGAAAGGAUCCGCAAGGGUCGCCCGAGGACGAGCCUGCGGCCCAUCAGCUUGUUGGUGAGGUAAUGGCUCACCAAGGCUAAGACGGGUAGCUGGUCUGAGAGGAUGAUCAGUCACACUGGAACUGAGACACGGUCCAGACUCCUACGGGAGGCAGCAGUGGGGAAUAUUGCGCAAUGGGCGAAAGCCUGACGCAGCCACGCCGCGUGAGCGAUGAAGGCCUUCGGGUCGUAAAGCUCUGUGGGGGGAGAAGAAAAAAGCCGGUGAAGAGCCGGACCUGACGGUAUCCCCUUAGCAAGCACCGGCUAACUCCGUG
rnacentral:rRNA from 1 species